rnacentral:lncRNA from 1 species
AUAUGGCAAAUGCAUGGGUUAUCUUCGUUGUUACCACCCACCGCUCCGAGUAUAUAUGCAAGUCGCUGCCCAGCCGAACCGCCGAACUCAUUGUACGUACAGGUACAAUUAACGCCUGCACCAGUGCACCACCACCCUCUCUCUGUCUCUCCAAUUGGGAUAUUAUUACUUAUUAGCACCGAUUCGUCGAGUCUGAUGGGUGAGAUGACGGGGGUAAGGGCAUCUCCAAUAGGAGUUACUAAGCAGGUACUAGUCCUACGUGGCGGAGAGAUGAAGAGAAAAAGUUAGUAUUAGUUUCUUGCAGAAGUAACAGCUUGUGCACGGGUACCAAGAAUGAAAAAAGAAUAACAUGUGGGUCCAUUAGAAAAAAGAAGAGAAUGAACAAAAGAAAGAGAAGAGAGAUGAAAAUUAGUAACGGCUUGCUAUUGAAGAUGCCCUAAGUACUGAUUUGGCUUGAUACCAAUAUUAGCACCGAUUGGUCGAGUGAUCUGACGUUGGCGCAUCUCGUGGCCGGAGAAGAAGAAUGGCGCGAGGACGAAGCAGGGCUCCGGAGCACCAAUUAGAAGCACCGGCAGGCUCAGAGGUCGUCUGAGUUCUGUUGAAGGCAGCGCCGAAUACUGGGGGUCACCGGAGAGGGAGAUCGGCACGACGGUGGCUCGUGGCCGAACUUGGAGAAGACGAGCGGGCGGCGGCGAUUUCGGACACCCCAGGCUGAUUCCUUAGAGCAUUUCCAAUGUCAUGCCCCAAAGCUAUAUAUACCAAAUGUCCUAUUUGGGGGAUAUGAACAAUUUGCUCCCAAAAUCAUCUCCCAAUGGCAUCCCCUAAACGGACACAAUGGCAUGUUUGUCCGGAUACAUCCCCCAAACUUGUCCCAAAUUUGGGGGAGAUUUGGGGUGUCCGGACAUUGUCCGGUGCUAUCUUUUGUCCGCCCCAGCCCACAAGAAGAGAUGGGAAAAGAAUAAGAAAAAGUGAAAAAGAGAGGAGAAAGGAUAAAGAGAAGGAAAAAACUAAUUUGGGAGAGGAAUUUGGGGAAUGUGGUUGCGUGAUGAGGGUGGACAUGGGGAGGACAUAUGUCCACUUGUUCCCCCAAAUGACCAAAAAAAGAACAUUUUGGGACAAAACUUGAGGGAUCCCAUUGGAGUUGCUCUUACGCCGGGAGGGUCGUCGUGACUGUGGCUCCAGGAGGGCUAUAACCACGGUGGCGCACGGGCGCGCACUGGACGAGACUCGCGGCCAAAUAAGGGGCCUGGGUUGAUAAUGGAUUCACAAGAAGAAUAUAUAGGAAGCAAGGGGGCUGGUUGAUAAAUGGAUGCGGACCCGGUCUGUCAGUUUCGUUGUCAAACUCGUUAAUCUGGUAGAUUUGGAUUUUCUAGAAAUAAUUACCCCUGAAGUUGUGGUUCUCUGUUACAAACCUCU